rnacentral:rRNA from 1 species
GAUGCUGACGAGCGGCGGACGGGUGAGUACUGCAUAGGAAUCUACCCGGUAGUGGGGGAUAACCUGGGGAAACUCAGGCUAAUACCGCAUACGUCCUACGGGAGAAAGGGGGCUUUGGCUCCCGCUAUUGGAUGAGCCUAUGCCGGAUUAGCUGGUUGGUGAGGUAAUGGCUCACCAAGGCGACGAUCCGUAGCUGGUCUGAGAGGAUGAUCAGCCACAUCGGGACUGAGACACGGCCCGAACUCCUACGGGAGGCAGCAGUGGGGAAUAUUGGACAAUGGGGGCAACCCUGAUCCAGCCAUGCCGCGUGUGUGAAGAAGAACUCUAAGGAGACUGCCGGUGACAAACCGGAGGAAGGUGGGGACGACGUCAAGUCAUCAUGGCCCUUACGGGUAGGGCUACACACGUGCUACAAUGGCCGGUACAAAGGGCAGCGAGCUCGCGAGAGUCAGCGAAUCCCUUAAAGCCGGUCUCAGUCCGGAUCGGAGUCUGCAACUCGACUCCGUGAAGUCGGAAUCGCUAGUAAUCGUGCAUCAGAAUGGCACGGUGAAUACGUUCCCGGGCCUU